ensembl:lncRNA
AUUAAUUGCACUUUCAUGGAGACCAAAUCUAAGAAGUAUCGGUAUCGGUACUCGGUAUCGGCAAGUACACAAAUAAAAAUACUCGUACUCGUAUCGGUUUGUAAAAAAGUGGUAUCGUGCAUCCCUAAUUUAAAGAAAACCGAUCGUUUGCAUGUCAGGCGAUCAACACAACUUCUCAACUAAAAAGUAAAGCUCCUUGUCCAUUUCUGUUGAAAAGUUUUAUCCAACCAGAGACCGGAUUAAAGUGACGACAUCCGGUUUUAAUACACAUUCCUUAGCCAUACGUUUUCCCUACCGACAACUCCUCUGUGUGCUGAGUGCGGUGUUACGGAUAAAUCAUUCCCCUGUGUGCUGAGUGCGGUGUUACGGAUAAAUCAUUCCCCUGUGUGCUGAGUGCGGUGUUACAGAGAAAUCUCUCCUCUGUGUGCUGAGUGCGGUGUUACAGAGAAAUCAUUCCCCCUGUGUGCUGAGUGCGGUGUUACAGAGAAAUCAUUCCCCUGUGUGCUGAGUGCGGUGUUACAGAGAAAUCCCUCCUCUGUGUGCUGAGUGCGGUGUUACAGAGAAAUCAUUCCCCUGUGUGCUGAGUGCGGUGUUACAGAGAAAUCAUUCCCCUGUGUGCUGAGUGCGGUGUUACAGAGAAAUCAUUCCCCUGUGUGCUGAGUGCGGUGUUACUGAGAAAUCCCUCCUCUGUGUGCUGAGUGCGGUGUUACAGAGAAAUCAUUCCCCUGUGUGCUGAGUGCGGUGUUACAGAAAAAUCAUUCCCCUGUGUGCUGAGUGCGGUGUUACAGAGAAAUCCCUCCUCUGUGUGCUGAGUGCGGUGUUACAGAGAAAUCAUUCCCCUGUGUGCUGAGUGCGGUGUUACAGAGAAAUCAUUCCCCUGUGUGCUGAGUGCGGUGUUACAGAAAAAUCAUUCCCCUGUGUGCUGAGUGCGGUGUUACAGAGAAAUCAUUCCCCUGUGUGCUGAGUGCGGUGUUACAGAGAAAUCCCUCCUCUGUGUGCUGAGUGCGGUGUUACAGAGGAAUCAUUCCCCUGUGUGCUGAGUGCGGUGUUACAGAGAAAUCAUUCCCCUGUGUGCUGAGUGCGUUGUUACAGAGAAAUCAUUCCCCUGUGUGCGGUGUUACAGAGAAAUCAUUCCCCUGUGUGCUGAGUGCGGUGUUACAGAGAAAUCAUUCCCCUGUGUGCUGAGUGCGGUGUUACAGAGAAAUCAUUCCCCUGUGUGCUGAGUGCGGUGUUACAGAGAAAUCAUUCCCCUGUGUGCUGAGUGCGGUGUUACAGAGAAAUCAUUCCCCUGUGUGCUGAGUGCGGUAUUACAGAGAAAUAAUUCCCCUGUGUGCUGAGUGCGGUGUUACAGAUAAAUCAUUCCCCUGUGUGCUGAGUGCGGUGUUACAGAGAAAUCAUUCCCCUGUGUGCAUUGACUCCUCUGACUCCUCUGACUCCU